GACGAACGCUGGCGGCGUGCUUAACACAUGCAAGUCGAACGGAAAGGCCCUGCUUGCAGGGUACUCGAGUGGCGAACGGGUGAGUAACACGUGGGUGAUCUGCCCUGCACUUCGGGAUAAGCCUGGGAAACUGGGUCUAAUACCGGAUAGGAGCCAUUUUUAGUGUGAUGGUUGGAAAGUUUUUUCGGUGUAGGAUGAGCUCGCGGCCUAUCAGCUUGUUGGUGGGGUAAUGGCCUACCAAGGCGGCGACGGGUAGCCGGCCUGAGAGGGUGGACGGCCACAGUGGGACUGAGAGACGGCCCAGACUCCUACGGGAGGCAGCAGUGGGGAAGAUUGCACAAUGGGCGCAAGCCGGAUGCAGCGACGCCGCGUGGGGGAUGACGGCCUUCGGGUUGGAAACUCCUUUCGCUAGGGACGAAGCUUUUUGUGACGGUACCUAGAGAAGAAGCACCGGCUAACUACGUG
rnacentral:rRNA from 1 species